GACGAACGCUGGCGGCGUGCUUAACACAUGCAAGUCGAACGGAGCUUAAUGAUGAAGCUUGCGAUUCAUUAAGUUUAGUGGCGGACGGGUGAGUAACGCGUGGGCAACCUACCCAUAAGCGGGGGACAACAGUUGGAAACGGCUGCUAAUACCGGAUGUGAGCAACUUUUAGUUGUUUGAAAGGUGGCGUAAGCUGUCGCUUGGGGAUGAGCCUGCGUCCUAUUAGUUAGUUGGUGAGGUAACGGCUCACCUAGGCAAUGAUAGGUAGGCGGCCUUAACGGGUGGUCGCCCACACUGGGAUUGAGAUACGGCCCAGACUCCUACGGGAGGCAGCAGUGGGGAAUAUUGCACAAUGGGCGAAAGCCUGAUGCAGCAACGCCGCGUGAGCGAAGAAGGCCUUUGGGUCGUAAAGCUCUGUCGGGAAGGAAGAUAAUGACGGUACUUCCCGAGGAAGCCCCGGCUAACUACGUG
rnacentral:rRNA from 1 species